GCGGGAGUAGUUCAAUGGUAGAACCUUAGCCUUCCAAGCUAAUGACGCGGGUUCGAUCCCCGUCUCCCGCUCCA
rnacentral:tRNA from 4 species